rnacentral:pre_miRNA from 1 species
UUGACAGAAGAGAGUGAGCACAUAGACACUCGGUAUAGAUGUAUAUCGUUGCCUUUGCGUGCUCACUCAUCUUUCUGUCAA